UUUUAAGGAUAUUUGCGGAGGUUUUUCUGUUUGAGAUGACAUCAUCUUCUACAGCUAUGCGUGUGACAUAUGGACCCAUUGAGGAUGAUUUAUUGACAUUGCAAAAUUUACAUGUUUCACAACAUGUUUGGAAUAGAGAAGAUGAUAGGAGAUUAAUAGCACGACGUGCUGCUCCAACGCGUAAUGGAAUUGACGGAGUUCCAUAUCAAAUAGUUUCGUUAUUAGACUAGGCAGGAUUUGGAUGGAUUGCUCGUUUGAGUUAUAUCAAAGUUAGUCCUGGUUUGUUAACUGCUUUGGUAGAACAAUUGAGACUAGAGACACACACAUUUCACAUGCCAUUUGGAGAAUGCACAAUUACUCUUCAAGAUGUUGGUAUGCUUGUUGGUCUUCCAGUUGAUGGUGAAGCACUGUUAAGUCGAGGCAGUGCUCAUAUAUUGGAAUUAGCUCAUGAUUUUUUAGGUGUUGUUCCACCUCAAUCAGAAAUUAAAGGACAUCGAGUUAAGUUAUCUUGGUUGGCAACAAACUUUAAUGAGAUUGUAGCUUACAUAAAUGAGCAACAUCAGUUGCUUCAUUAUGCUAGAGCUUGGAUACUACGUUUUAUAGGUGGACUUCUUUUUCCUGAUAGAUCUUCAAGCUAUGUCUCAUUAAGGUGGUUGGCGUUUUUAGGUGGACUUCUUUUGUUUAAGUUUCACAUCCUUGAAUCGAGCAUUAAAAUUACUUGCAAUGUGCCUAAUGCAGUACUUGUGAUAUGCAUUUGGCGGUCUUCAACCAAUUGCCUCAUUGUCAAUGGCUGAUUUAAUGCUACGAUAUCGAUUAGAUAUUAAACAUAUCCCUUCUUUGUUUGUAACAUGUAACCGCAAAUGAGACAAGAAUCACGACCACGCAAGUAAUGUUUCUCCUUCAACCACAACAAAUGCAAGAGGAAGAACGUUGUUAUUACCAUCUUGUGUUGUAGCAAUGAGCAA